AGGACGAACGCUGGCGGCGUGCUUAACACAUGCAAGUCGAGCGGAAAGGCCUUUCGGGGUACUCGAGCGGCGAACGGGUGAGUAACACGUGAGUAAUCUGCCCAUCGCUUCAGGAUAGCCAUCGGAAACGGUGAUUAAUACUGGAUAUGACAUUCCUUCGCAUGUUGGGGUGUGGAAAGUUUUUUCGGCGGUGGAUGUGCUCGCGGCCUAUCAGCUUGUUGGUGGGUAAUGGCCUACCAAGGCUUUGACGGGUAGCCGGCCUGGAGAGGGUCGACCGGCCACACGUGGGACCUGAGACCACGGCCCCAGACCUCCUACGGGAGGCCAGCAGGUGGGGAAUAGUUGGACAAGUGGGACGGAAGCCCGUGACUCCAGCCAACACCCGGCGUGGA
rnacentral:rRNA from 1 species